rnacentral:rRNA from 1 species
UAGGUGUCGGGGGUUACCCCCUUCGGUGCCGCAGCUAACGCAUUAAGUACUCCGCCUGGGAAGUACGCUCGCAAGAGUGAAACUCAAAGGAAUUGACGGGGACCCGCCCAAGUAGCGGAGCAUGUGGGUUAAUUCGAAGCAACGCGAAGAACCUUACCUAAGCUUGACAUCCCAAUGACAUCUCCUUAAUCGGAGAGUUCCCUUCGGGGACAUUGGUGACAGGUGGUGCAUGGUUGUCGUCAGCUCGUGUCGUGAGAUGUUGGGUUAAGUCCCGCAACGAGCGCAACCCUUGUCUUUAGUUGCCAUCAUUAAGUUGGGCACUCUAGAGAGACUGCCAGGGAUAA